rnacentral:rRNA from 1 species
UUAAGCGACUAAGCGUACACGGUGGAUGCCCUGGCAGUCAGAGGCGAUGAAGGACGUGCUAAUCUGCGAAAAGCGUCGGUAAGGUGAUAUGAACCGUUAUAACCGGCGAUGUCCGAAUGGGGAAACCCAGUGCAAUUCGUUGCACUAUCGUUAACUGAAUACAUAGGUUAACGAGGCGAACCGGGGGAACUGAAACAUCUAAGUACCCCGAGGAAAAGAAAUCAACCGAGAUUCCCCCAGUAGCGGCGAGCGAACGGGGAGCAGCCCAGAGUCUGAAUCAGCUUGUGUGUUAGUGGAACGGUCUGGAAAGUCCGACGGUACAGGGUGAUAGUCCCGUACACCAAAAUGCACAGGCUGUGAACUCGAAGAGUAGGGCGGGACACGUGGUAUCCUGUCUGAAUAUGGGGGGACCAUCCUCCAAGGCUAAAUACUCCUGACUGACCGAUAGUGAACCAGUACCGUGAGGGAAAGGCGAAAAGAACCCCGGCGAGGGGAGUGAAAAAGAACCUGAAACCGUGUACGUACAAGCAGUGGGAGCACCUUCGGGUGUGACUGCGUACCUUUUGUAUAAUGGGUCAGCGACUUAUAUUCUGUAGCAAGGUUAACCGUAUAGGGGAGCCGCAGGGAAACCGAGUCUUAACUGGGCGUUAAGUUGCAGGGUAUAGACCCGAAACCCGGUGAUCUAGCCAUGGGCAGGUUGAAGGUUGGGUAACACUAACUGGAGGACCGAACCGACUAAUGUUGAAAAAUUAGCGGAUGACUUGUGGCUGGGGGUGAAAGGCCAAUCAAACCGGGAGAUAGCUGGUUCUCCCCGAAAGCUAUUUAGGUAGCGCCUCGUGAAUUCAUCUUCGGGGGUAGAGCACUGUUUCGGCUAGGGGGUCAUCCCGACUUACCAACCCGAUGCAAACUACGAAUACCGAAGAAUGUUAUCACGGGAGACACACGGCGGGUGCUAACGUCCGUCGUGAAGAGGGAAACAACCCAGACCGCCAGCUAAGGUCCCAAAGUCAUGGUUAAGUGGGAAACGAUGUGGGAAGGCACAGACAGCCAGGAUGUUGGCUUAGAAGCAGCCAUCAUUUAAAGAAAGCGUAAUAGCUCACUGGUCGAGUCGGCCUGCGCGGAAGAUGUAACGGGGCUAAACCAUGCACCGAAGCUGCGGCAGCGACACUAUGUGUUGUUGGGUAGGGGAGCGUUCUGUAAGCCUGCGAAGGUGUGCUGUGAGGCAUGCUGGAGGUAUCAGAAGUGCGAAUGCUGACAUAAGUAACGAUAAAGCGGGUGAAAAGCCCGCUCGCCGGAAGACCAAGGGUUCCUGUCCAACGUUAAUCGGGGCAGGGUGAGUCGACCCCUAAGGCGAGGCCGAAAGGCGUAGUCGAUGGGAAACAGGUUAAUAUUCCUGUACUUGGUGUUACUGCGAAGGGGGGACGGAGAAGGCUAUGUUAGCCGGGCGACGGUUGUCCCGGUUUAAGCAUGUAGGCUGAUUGUCCAGGCAAAUCCGGAUAAUCAAGGCUGAGGUGUGAUGACGAGGCACUACGGUGCUGAAGUAACAAAUGCCCUGCUUCCAGGAAAAGCCUCUAAGCAUCAGGUAACAUCAAAUCGUACCCCAAACCGACACAGGUGGUCAGGUAGAGAAUACCAAGGCGCUUGAGAGAACUCGGGUGAAGGAACUAGGCAAAAUGGUGCCGUAACUUCGGGAGAAGGCACGCUGGUGUGUAGGUGAAGCCCCUGCGGGUGGAGCUGAGACCAGUCGAAGAUACCAGCUGGCUGCAACUGUUUAUUAAAAACACAGCACUGUGCAAACACGAAAGUGGACGUAUACGGUGUGACGCCUGCCCGGUGCCGGAAGGUUAAUUGAUGGGGUUAUCCGUAAGGAGAAGCUCUUGAUCGAAGCCCCGGUAAACGGCGGCCGUAACUAUAACGGUCCUAAGGUAGCGAAAUUCCUUGUCGGGUAAGUUCCGACCUGCACGAAUGGCGUAAUGAUGGCCAGGCUGUCUCCACCCGAGACUCAGUGAAAUUGAACUCGCUGUGAAGAUGCAGUGUACCCGCGGCAAGACGGAAAGACCCCGUGAACCUUUACUAUAGCUUGACACUGAACAUUGAGCCUUGAUGUGUAGGAUAGGUGGGAGGCUUUGAAGCGUGGACGCCAGUCUGCGUGGAGCCAACCUUGAAAUACCACCCUUUAAUGUUUGAUGUUCUAACGUUGGCCCCUUACCGGGGUUGCGGACAGUGUCUGGUGGGUAGUUUGACUGGGGCGGUCUCCUCCCAAAGCGUAACGGAGGAGCACGAAGGUUAGCUAAUCCUGGUCGGACAUCAGGAGGUUAGUGCAAUGGCAUAAGCUAGCUUGACUGCGAGCGUGACGGCGCGAGCAGGUGCGAAAGCAGGUCAUAGUGAUCCGGUGGUUCUGAAUGGAAGGGCCAUCGCUCAACGGAUAAAAGGUACUCCGGGGAUAACAGGCUGAUACCGCCCAAGAGUUCAUAUCGACGGCGGUGUUUGGCACCUCGAUGUCGGCUCAUCACAUCCUGGGGCUGAAGUAGGUCCCAAGGGUAUGGCUGUUCGCCAUUUAAAGUGGUACGCGAGCUGGGUUUAGAACGUCGUGAGACAGUUCGGUCCCUAUCUGCCGUGGGCGCUGGAGAAUUGAGGGGGGCUGCUCCUAGUACGAGAGGACCGGAGUGGACGCAUCACUGGUGUUCGGGUUGUCAUGCCAAUGGCACUGCCCGGUAGCUAAAUGCGGAAGAGAUAAGUGCUGAAAGCAUCUAAGCACGAAACUUGCCCCGAGAUGAGUUCUCCCUGAGACUUUAAGUCUCCUGAAGGAACGUUAAAGACGAUGACGUUGAUAGGCCGGGUGUGUAAGCGCAGCGAUGCGUUGAGCUAACCGGUACUAAUGAACCGUGAGGCUUAACCU